AGAGUUUGAUCCUGGCUCAGGAUGAACGCUGGCGGCGUGCUUAACACAUGCAAGUCGAACGGGAUCCAUCAGGCUUUGCUUGGUGGUGAGAGUGGCGAACGGGUGAGUAAUGCGUGACCGACCUGCCCCAUACACCGGAAUAGCUCCUGGAAACGGGUGGUAAUGCCGGAUGCUCCAGUUGAUCGCAUGGUCUUCUGGGAAAGCUUUCGCGGUAUGGGAUGGGGUCGCGUCCUAUCAGCUUGACGGCGGGGUAACGGCCCACCGUGGCUUCGACGGGUAGCCGGCCUGAGAGGGCGACCGGCCACAUUGGGACUGAGAUACGGCCCAGACUCCUACGGGAGGCAGCAGUGGGGAAUAUUGCACAAUGGGCGCAAGCCUGAUGCAGCGACGCCGCGUGAGGGAUGGAGGCCUUCGGGUUGUAAACCUCUUUUAUCGGGGAGCAAGCGAGAGUGAGUUUACCCGUUGAAUAAGCACCGGCUAACUACGUGCCAGCAGCCGCGGU
rnacentral:rRNA from 2 species